GACCUUCCUCAGCUCUGAUCAGGGUGAGGUGGGGGUGCAGGGGACAGCAGGAAUGUCACACUCUGUCCUCCACACGGGGAACAAGGUGGUCCCAGCACGCCUUCAAGGCCAGUCAGCACCCUGCCAAGGUCUGCCCUCGCUGUGCCUAGCCGCACUUUUUCCGUAACGGAGCGGCUUUGGGGCCUUAGUCAUAUAUCAGCUGACUCGGAUUUCGGCGCUUGCAUAUUUGAGGUGCAUGGAUGACCAGUUUAACAACUAUUGUGUCCAGACUCAAAGCUCCAUUCCUACUAUGUGAGGGAUUUCUGGUUUUGUUCCAGGUACUAAAUAUACAAGCGUCCCAUUGACAACCCACGUAGCUACCACACGGUUUCAGAACCCGAAAGAGGCGCCGUACGAAGUGAGCAAAUUUCUUCUCAAAACAUUCGAGUGGUUGGAAACCGAUUAUGGUGUGGCAUGUGCGCGCUGAAAGCAGGUCCCUGCUGUGACUGGCUACAGACCAGAGUGACUCCCUGCCGUCUGCAGCUGUGGCGUUUCUCCCUCUGAGCCGCCGAGUGAAAGCCUUCACACUGUCUCGCUGCACAGACGCACCUCUUUCUCCAGCACACCUUAAAUGCCCUGAGGCCCUACAAGAAUCUGAAAUAUUUUUAAAGGAUGAGGCGCUAGGAGGCAUAAAGGUUUGCCGCAUUUGCGUCUGGUUCCCGUGGCGAUCGUUGUCCUUGUCAGUGCCUUCGUUUGGAAGAUGCAUUCUUAACCCUGAACGACGGUGGGACACAGAGUAAUGAAUGACGUAAGUUCGGUGAAACCUGGGGGCGUCCACAGCGCAGCCGACUCCUCACCCUUUCCUACACUCCCAGGCUUAUGGGUUUUCUCCUUUAGUACACAAAUCGCUUUUGCGAUCUCAGCGGGGGCUGAUCUGUAAUUACUGCUGACACUGUGGCCUGCCGCUUUCUCCCGGAGGAGCUGUUGGGACUUCCGGCGCGCAUCGAGCAACAGUCCCUCUCCUUCAACAGGGAGAGUCGUGCAUUCACAGAUAAACUGCUGUCUGUGAGUGUAACCUUCCCGUAGACAAAAAAAGAAGAAAAAAACUUUAUCCAUCACCCCUCUCGCUGAUGCUUUUUCUACAGGAGGUGAAGGCUGCCAGUUUUUAGAGUGAACACAGGAAUGUCCGACUGGGAAAAAAAGAUGAAAAACAACACCCUCGAGUCUGUGGCUCAGAGGUACCUAUCUGUACAAGUGGUGGUUUUGGCCUCAUAACUGUUGGCCAUGUACACUCUAAUUAAUCUUAUUUGUUGAGUAUAAAUAACUGACUGUAUGUCUUGUUGGAAUCCUCAU